rnacentral:rRNA from 1 species
GACGAACGCUGACGGUGUGCUUUAGGCAUGCAAGUCGAACGAGAAAGCCCUUCGGGUGAGUACAGUGGCGAACGGGUGCGUAACACGUGGGCAACCUGUCCCUUACAGGGGGACAACCGGAGGAAACUCCGGCUAAUACCCCGUACGCUUGCCAGGCCGCAUGGUCUGGCAAGGAAAGGUAGCUUCGGCCAUCCGGCGAGGGAGGGGCCCGCGGUACAUUAGCUAGUUGGUGGGGUAACGGCUCACCAAGGCGACGAUGUAUAGCUGGUCUGAGAGGAUGAUCAGCCACACUGGGACUGAGACACGGCCCAGACUCCUACGGGAGGCAGCAGCCAGGAAUCUUGCACAAUGGGCGAAAGCCUGAUGCAGCAACACCGUGU